rnacentral:rRNA from 1 species
GACGAACGCUGGCGGCGUGCUUAACACAUGCAAGUCGAACGGAAAGGCCCUGCUUUUGUGGGGUGCUCGAGUGGCGAACGGGUGAGUAACACGUGAGUAACCUGCCCUUGACUUUGGGAUAACUUCAGGAAACUGGGGCUAAUACCGGAUAGGAGCUCCUGCUGCAUGGUGGGGGUUGGAAAGUUUCGGCGGUUGGGGAUGGACUCGCGGCUUAUCAGCUUGGUGGUGGGGUAGUGGCUUACCAAGGCUUUGACGGGUAGCCGGCCUGAGAGGGUGACCGGCCACAUUGGGACUGAGCUGCGGCCCAGACUCCUACGGGAGGCAGCAGUGGGGAAUAUUGCACAAUGGGCGGAAGCCUGAUGCAGCAACGCCGCGUGCGGGAUGACGGCCUUCGGGUUGUAAACCGCUUUCGCCUGUGACGAAGCGUGAGUGACGGUAAUGGGUAAAGAAGCACCGGCUAACUACGUG